rnacentral:misc_RNA from 1 species
AACUUUUGGCAACGGAUCUCUUGGCUCUCGCAUCGAUGAAGGACGCAGCGAAAUGCGAUAAGUAAUGUGAAUUGCAGAUUUUCAGUGAAUCAUCGAAUCUUUGAACGCACCUUGCGCCCCUUGGUAUUCCGAGGGGCAUGCCUGUUUGAGUGUCAUUGAAAUAUCAACCUUGGGUGGAUUUGCUUCCUCUCCGAUGGUUGGACUUUGGAGAGUGCUGGCGUCAGGUCGGCUCCUCUUAAAUGCAUCAGCGGAAAACUUUGACCUCUGGACGUCAGCGUGAUAAUCACGUUGCGCUGUCGACCGAGGUGUCAUCAUAAGGACCCGCUUCUAAUGGUCUUCGGACAGGACAUCAAAUUUGACCUCAAAUCAGGUAGGACUACCCGCUGAACUUAAGCAUAUCAAUAAGCGGAGGCU